rnacentral:rRNA from 1 species
AGCAACAAAUGCCCUGCUUCCAGGAAAAGCCUCUAAGCAUCAGGUAACAUCAAAUCGUACCCCAAACCGACACAGGUGGUCAGGUAGAGAAUACCAAGGCGCUUGAGAGAACUCGGGUGAAGGAACUAGGCAAAAUGGUGCCGUAACUUCGGGAGAAGGCACGCUGACACGUAGGUGAAGUGAUUUACUCAUGGAGCUGAAGUCAGUCGAAGAUACCAGCUGGCUGCAACUGUUUAUUAAAAACACAGCACUGUGCAAACACGAAAGUGGACGUAUACGGUGUGACGCCUGCCCGGUGCCGGAAGGUUAAUUGAUGGGGUCAGCGCAAGCGAAGCUCCUGAUCGAAGCCCCGGUAAACGGCGGCCGUAACUAUAACGGUCCUAAGGUAGCGAAAUUCCUUGUCGGGUAAGUUCCGACCUGCACGAAUGGCGUAAUGAUGGCCAGGCUGUCUCCACCCGAGACUCAGUGAAAUUGAACUCGCUGUGAAGAUGCAGUGUACCCGCGGCAAGACGGAAAGACCCCGUGAACCUUUACUAUAGCUUGACACUGAACAUUGAGCCUUGAUGUGUAGGAUAGGUGGGAGGCUUUGAAGUGUGGACGCCAGUCUGCAUGGAGCCGACCUUGAAAUACCACCCUUUAAUGUUUGAUGUUCUAACGUGGACCCGUUACCCGGGUUGCGGACAGUGUCUGGUGGGUAGUUUGACUGGGGCGGUCUCCUCCUAAAGAGUAACGGAGGAGCACGAAGGUUGGCUAAUCCUGGUCGGACAUCAGGAGGUUAGUGCAAUGGCAUAAGCCAGCUUGACUGCGAGCGUGACGGCGCGAGCAGGUGCGAAAGCAGGUCAUAGUGAUCCGGUGGUUCUGAAUGGAAGGGCCAUCGCUCAACGGAUAAAAGGUACUCCGGGGAUAACAGGCUGAUACCGCCCAAGAGUUCAUAUCGACGGCGGUGUUUGGCACCUCGAUGUCGGCUCAUCACAUCCUGGGGCUGAAGUAGGUCCCAAGGGUAUGGCUGUUCGCCAUUUAAAGUGGUACGCGAGCUGGGUUUAGAACGUCGUGAGACAGUUCGGUCCCUAUCUGCCGUGGGCGCUGGAGAACUGAGGGGGGCUGCUCCUAGUACGAGAGGACCGGAGUGGACGCAUCACUGGUGUUCGGGUUGUCAUGCCAAUGGCACUGCCCGGUAGCUAAAUGCGGAAGAGAUAAGUGCUGAAAGCAUCUAAGCACGAAACUUGCCCCGAGAUGAGUUCUCCCUGAGACUUAAAGUCUCCUGAAGGAACGUUGAAGACGACGACGUUGAUAGGCCGGGUGUGUAAGCGCAGCGAUGCGUUGAGCUAACCGG